GGCUUGAUCGGAAAUGGACGGGGACUGCUGCUCCGUUUCAAGCAGAGGUAGAUAUGGAGAAGAUAAUGGAAGAGAGGAAUCGGGUUCUUGGGGACCCGCUCACCGAGGAGGAGGCGGAGUACCUGGUUGAGCGGUAUCGGCACAGCGAUUGUUCCAGGCAAAUUAAUCUAGGUAAUUAUUGUCUGAAAAUAUACUAUAUACUUGCAUAACAGUGGGAUAUAUUUUAUCAUUAGACAGUAUAAUCCCGUUAUCGCCUAGAAAGAGUUGGUACUGUAAAUUAGUUGUCAUGGAUUUUAUUCUCUGUUUUUGGAUAUGGUGUCGUUUUCUGAAUUUGUUUGUACAAGUACUUGAAUUCAAAUGUUCAGCUGUCAUGGAUAGUUUUGAACUUCCAUAUACAGCUUCAGCAACUUGUUUAUAGACUAUAUAGGUGAUUGAACCUUCCCAUGUCUUAUUCUUGGAGAUGGAAAACCAGUUUAAACAAAAUGUUCCCAUGACGGCCAGACCAGGUUGUUUCUUAGUGGAUUGUCCGUUUAUUUUAUGUUAGGGAAGGGGGGAGUCACUCACAACAUGUUGGAUGAUAUCCACAAUCACUGGAAGAGAGCAGAAGCUGUGAGAAUCAAGUGCUUGGGAGUGCCUACCCUUGAUAUGGACAAUGUCUGCUUCCAUCUUGAGGUGUGGCUUUAAUAAAGUAUCUACGGGUAAAUUUUUUUUUUUUUUUUUUUUUUUUAAAUUUUUGGGGAUUUUUAGCUGAUGCAGCUGUUUGUGGGUUUUCGCCAUUCGGGCCGGGUCGGCUUGAUCGGAAAUGGACGGGGACUGCUGCUCCGUUUCAAGCAGAGGUAGAUAUGGAGAAGAUAAUGGAAGAGAGGAAUCGGGUUCUUGGGGACCCGCUCACCGAGGAGGAGGCGGAGUACCUGGUUGAGCGGUAUCGGCACAGCGAUUGUUCCAGGCAAAUUAAUCUAGGUAAUUAUUGUCUGAAAAUAUACUAUAUACUUGCAUAACAGUGGGAUAUAUUUUAUCAUUAGACAGUAUAAUCCCGUUAUCGCCUAGAAAGAGUUGGUACUGUAAAUUAGUUGUCAUGGAUUUUAUUCUCUGUUUUUGGAUAUGGUGUCGUUUUCUGAAUUUGUUUGUACAAG
rnacentral:lncRNA from 1 species